UACGUAGGGAGCGAGCGUUGUCCGGAUUUAUUGGGCGUAAAAGAGCGCGUAGGCGGCUCGGUAAGCCGGAUGUGAAACCUCCAAGCUCAACUUGGAGCGGCCAUUCGGAACUGCUGUGGCUAGAGUCUGGUAGGGGAACACGGAAUACCUGGUGUAGCGGUGAAAUGCUUAGAUAUCAGGUGGAACACCCAGUGGCGAAGGCGGUGUUCUGGGCCAGUACUGACGCUGGAGACGGCGAAGGCGUGGGGAGCGAAACGGG
rnacentral:rRNA from 1 species